UGCGGAAGAUGAGUCCAAAGCCGAGAGC
rnacentral:piRNA from 1 species